rnacentral:rRNA from 1 species
UACAGAGGUCUCAAGCGUUGUUCGGAUUCAUUGGGCGUAAAGGGUGCGUAGGUGGCGGGGUAAGUCAGGUGUGAAAUCUCGAGGCUCAACCUCGAAACUGCACUUGAUACUGCCUUGCUCGAGUACUGGAGAGGAGAUUGGAAUUUACGGUGUAGCAGUGAAAAUGCGUAGAUAUCGUAAGGAAGACCAGUGGCGAAGGCGAAUCUCUGGACAGUUACUGACACUGAGGCACGAAGGCCAGGGGAGCAAACGGG